rnacentral:rRNA from 1 species
CCUACGGGAGGCAGCAGUGGGGAAUAAUGCACAAUGGGAGAAACCCUGAUGCAGCGACGCCGCGUGAGUGAAGAAGUAUUUCGGUAUGUAAAGCUCUAUCAGCAGGGAAGAAAAUGACGGUACCUGAUUAAGAAGCCCCGGCUAACUACGUGCCAGCAGCCGCGGUAAUACGUAGGGGGCAAGCGUUAUCCGGAUUUACUGGGUGUAAAGGGAGCGUAGACGGCAGCACAAGUCUGGAGUGAAAUGCCGGGGCUUAACCCCGGAACUGCUUUGGAAACUGUGCAGCUAGAGUGCAGGAGAGGUAAGUGGAAUUACUAGUGUAGCGGUGAAAUGCGUAGAUAUUAGGAGGAACACCAGUGGCGAAGGCGGGUUACUGGACUGUAACUGACGUUGAGGCUCGAAAGCGUGGGGAGCAAACAGGAUUAGAUACCCUAGUAGUC